UAAUACGUACCGUCCAAACGUUAUUCGGAAUCACUGGGCUUAAAGAGUUCGUAGGCGGCUCAGAAAGUUGGGUGUGAAAUCCCCCGGCCUAACCGGGGAAUGGCGCUCAAAACUACUGAGCUCGAGGAAGAUAGAGGUGAGCGGAACUGAUGGUGGAGCGGUGAAAUGCGUUGAUAUCAUCAGGAACACCGGAGGCGAAGGCGGCUCACUGGGUCUUACCUGACGCUGAGGAACGAAAGCUAGGGGAGCGAACGGG
rnacentral:rRNA from 1 species